UACGGAGGGUGCGAGCGUUGUCCGGAAUCACUGGGCGUAAAGGGCGUGUAGGCGGCCAGAAAAGUCCGCUGUGAAAACUCGAGGCUCAACUUCGAGCUGUCGGUGGAAACUUUCUGGCUAGAGUCCGGAAGAGGAGAAUGGAAUUCCUGGUGUAGCGGUGAAAUGCGCAGAUAUCAGGAAGAACACCAGUGGCGAAGGCGGCUCACUGGACCGGCAUUGACGCUGAGGUGCGAAAGCGUGGGGAGCAAACAGG
rnacentral:rRNA from 1 species